UACGUAGGGUGCGAGCGUUAAUCGGAAUUACUGGGCGUAAAGUGUGCGCAGGCCGCCGAGCAAGUCGAGUGUGAAAGCCCCGAGCUUAACUUGGGAACUGCGCUCGAAACUACUUGGCUAGAGUGUGGCAGAGGGAGGUGGAAUUCCACGUGUAGCGGUGAAAUGCGUAGAGAUGUGGAGGAACACCGAUGGCGAAGGCAGCCUCCUGGGCCAACACUGACGCUCAUGCACGAAAGCGUGAGGAGCAAACAGG
rnacentral:rRNA from 1 species